AUCUACGGCCAUACCACCCUGAACACACCCCAUCUCAUCUGAUUUCGGAAGCUAAGCAGGGUCCGGCCUGGUCAGUACUUGAAAGGGGGACCCUGAAGUGCAGUCGGGAGAUG
ensembl:rRNA 5S_rRNA 5S ribosomal RNA